rnacentral:rRNA from 1 species
GUGGGGAAUAUUGGACAAUGGGGGCAACCCUGAUCCAGCCAUGCCGCGUGAGUGAUGAAGGCCUUCGGGUUGUAAAGCUCUUUUAGCAGGGACGAUGAUGACGGUACCUGCGGAAUAAGCCCCGGCUAACUUCGUGCCAGCAGCCGCGGUAAUACGAAGGGGGCAAGCGUUGUUCGGAAUUACUGGGCGUAAAGGGCGCGUAGGCGGUUGCUUAAGUUAGAUGUGAAAGCCCUGGGCUUAACCCGGGAAUAGCAUUUGAUACUGGGCAGCUAGAAUCCAGAAGAGGUUGGUGGAAUUCCCAGUGUAGAGGUGAAAUUCGUAGAUAUUGGGAAGAACACCGGAGGCGAAGGCGGCCAACUGGUCUGGUAUUGACGCUGAGGCGCGAAAGCGUGGGGAGCAAACAGG